UUUUAAUUAUCGUAACACUAAAGCAGCAGACGGGCAUUAACAGACCUACCACUCACAGAUGAACAUGGUUUCAAGAACGAAUAAGAACUACGUUCUGGCCGUGCUUCUCAUCUGUGUGUGGUGUAAUGCAGGCGUUCUAGCGAGCAAUAAACCGCAAUGUGACGACGUGAAUGAUGACAACGUACUGAAUCGUAAUGUACGCAUCGUGGCGUGUUGUGUUGACUGCAGGGUUGAACUUACUUCCUGUAUGACUAAAUGUCGGAAAGAAGUGCAAGAGAGGCUGCUUUUACUACCCUGUGAAAUGGAAUGCCGUGCCGAGUUCACGGAGUGUGAGGUAUGGUGUCAAAUACAUACCCCUUCUCCGGUUUGAAGCCAGUCAAGAACGACAAUAAAAACAAUCACUCUUUUAGCCUGGAAAUCCGAUACAAUUUCAACGUGAAGACUUUUUAUCUCUGGUGUUCCUCACUUAAACUGGUGAUUUGGAUUAGAAUAUUAAUGGAAGACAUAACGGUGUGUAUGUGUUUCUGGAUAGAAUAUUUGAGUGCCAUAUACGACUGGAGCAGCAAGAUGAGAUUAGUCAAUGAGUUAAUGAUGUACCUGAUACAGUUAUGUACAUUCUGUGGUGGUGAACACUUAAGUUAUGAAGAUUAUAUCAAUCUUAAAAAAACCUGUUUAGAACAAACUUUAUAUAUUUGAUCUGUGUUUUAGACGUAGUUAGAAUGUAUAAAAAAUAAAUAGCUAAACACAAAUGUCUUUGUCAUUUUGCAAUGAGGAAAUGAUAACCGUUAUGACAUAUUUUCCGGGAAAUGACACAAAAAGUUUGAUCAUUAUGAGGCUAUACUUCCGGAGAAAAAUGAAUCCACUUUAAAUUGCCACAAAUUUGAAAUUGUAUAUUAAACAAACAUGUGUUAUCUUAAUUCUCCCAUAUAAUCUUAUCAUUUCAUCGAUAAUACUGUUGCAGUGUAAUCGAUUUUGUUGUCCCGGGUUAAGCGUCAUGGAGACAGGUGCCUAGAGAUCUUUCUAAAAAGUAGCAAAGUUGGAGGAAGAAUUGAUAGACAUCUUAAGUGCUGAAACGGUUGUAUACCUUUAACACUUAUUAAUGUGCAAUAAUGAAUAAAGAAAUAAUUUAAGGUAAAU